rnacentral:rRNA from 1 species
AACGAACGCUGGCGGCGCGUCUUAAACAUGCAAGUCGAACGAUCUGUAGCAAUACAGGGAGUGGCGGACGGGUGAGGAACACGUAGGAAUCUACCUUGAAGAGCGGACAACUUUGGGAAACCGGGGCUAAUACCGCAUAGUACAGAGAUGUUAAAGGGCUAGCAAUAGUCGCUUCGAGAUGAGCCUGCGGUCUAUCAGCUUGUUGGUGAGGUAAUGGCUCACCAAGGCUACGACGGAUAGCCGGUCUGAGAGGAUGAUCGGCCACACUGGCACUGAGACACGGGCCAGACUCCUACGGGAGGCAGCAGUUAAGAAUCUUGCGCAAUGGGGGAAACCCUGACGCAGCGACGCCGCGUGAAGGAUGAAGGCUUUCGGG